rnacentral:rRNA from 1 species
UCGGGAAUUUUGGGCAAUGGGCGAAAGCCUGACCCAGCAACGCCGCGUGAAGGAUGAAGUAUUUCGGUAUGUAAACUUCGAAAGAAUAGGAAGAAUAAAUGACGGUACUAUUUAUAAGGUCCGGCUAACUACGUGCCAGCAGCCGCGGUAAUACGUAGGGACCAAGCGUUGUUCGGAUUUACUGGGCGUAAAGGGCGCGUAGGCGGCAAUUCAAGUCAUCUGUGAAAUCUCCGGGCUUAACUCGGAACGGUCAGAUGAUACUGCUUUGCUAGAGUGCAGAAGGGGCAAUCGGAAUUCUUGGUGUAGCGGUGAAAUGCGUAGAUAUCUGGAGGAAUACCGAUGGCGAAGGCAGCCUUCUGGCCUAACACUGACGCUGAGGUGCGAAAGCAUGGGGAGCAAACAGGAUUAGAUACCCCCGUAGUCCCUGAGCGGGCUGGCAAGGCGCAU